rnacentral:rRNA from 1 species
UACGAAGGGUGCAAGCGUUACUCGGAAUUACUGGGCGUAAAGCGUGCGUAGGUGGUUCGUUAAGUCUGAUGUGAAAGCCCUGGGCUCAACCUGGGAAUGGCAUUGGAUACUGGCGACCUAGAGUGCGGUAGAGGGGGGUGGAAUUCCCGGUGUAGCAGUGAAAUGCGUAGAUAUCGGGAGGAACAUCUGUGGCGAAGGCGACACCCUGGACCAGCACUGACACUGAGGCACGAAAGCGUGGGGAGCAAACAGG